UACGUAGGUGGCAAGCGUUGUCCGGAAUUAUUGGGCGUAAAGCGCGCGCAGGCGGCCUCUUAAGUCUGAUGUGAAAGCCCCCGGCUCAACCGGGGAGGGCCAUUGGAAACUGGGAGGCUUGAGUAUAGGAGAGAAGAGUGGAAUUCCACGUGUAGCGGUGAAAUGCGUAGAGAUGUGGAGGAACACCAGUGGCGAAGGCGACUCUUUGGCCUAUAACUGACGCUGAGGCGCGAAAGCGUGGGGGAGCAAACAGG
rnacentral:rRNA from 1 species